AGCAGGCGAGACAGUGUGCGUGUGCGUGAAACGUCUGUUGCCCGGCGGUCGGGGUGUUGGGAGUGUUUGUUACAGCCGCCUGACCCAGCGCACGCCGGCUGAUGCAGGGACCGAGUGUCCUCGCGGCUGCAGGGACGGGGGAGAAUUAAGGCGCGCGUGAGAGUGUGUGUGAGGAUGCCCGCGAGAGGGCGACGUUGGGAGGGAGGAAGUGAGGCCACUGUGAGGGACACCUCCCCCCCCCUCCGCCCCCCACCGCGUGUGCCUGCACUGUCCCCGGGGCCCCAGGUCAGGCAGGGGUCAAGAUCGGCACCCUGCCACACGGGGACUAGCCGCACCUGCGCUCCUUCCUCUUUACCUUGGAAACUUGUCUUGAAUCUCUCAGCUCCUUCUCCCUGUCCUGCUGCCUUGUCCCUCCCUGCAGCCACCCUCGUCUCCAUCUGGAGGGUACAGCUGCCUUCCUGUCUGGCUGCCCCCCACCCAGGCUUUUCUCCACGCAGCCAUCUUUCCAAACCCAAAUUGGACCCUGUCACUCCUUUGCUUCAAAGCCUUCAGUGGUUCCCUGUGGCCCCAUUACCCCCUCCUUCCCAUGGCUAGCACCCUCAGCCUAUGUCCCGUUCAACCUGUCAGGAGGCUUACACCACCUCUCCCCUCGGGCCCUUUGCACAUGCUGUUCCCUCCUCCCAGAAUGCUUGUCCCUUAUGCUCUUUCCCUAGUUCACCUCUCAGCCACCGCCUCCUCAGGGAAGCCCUCCCUGAUACACACUCUCGUCCCUCCACAUGUCUCGCUUUUGAAGCACCGUAUGCUCACAUCAUGAACUUCGUCUCUCCCAGGAGUCUGUGGGCUCCUGGUUGGGCCAGGGCCUGCCCCGCCUGGCCACUGCCACCACCACUGCCUGGCACACGCCUUGUGAGCCGGGGCAGGCCACUUACCUCUCUGUGACUCAGUUUCCUCAUCGGUAACGUGAAUACGAGGUUCACGGGCCGCUGGGAUGGACACCUGCCUGCCCACCACCCAUCCUCUCUUCCGGGAUCUGCACACUGAUUCUUCCUCGGGGACCAUCCUCCCGCCUCCUGCAGUCGGUGAAGUUUGAGAGAGAACCCUUCCCCCAGCUGUCUCAAGGGCACAGGACCCAGGCGUGGCCAAUCGAAGAACGCCACCCCCUGGUCUUAUGAUUGGUUCAGGAACGUGCAUGUAACCCAAGUGCAAUCAGUGAUAAUGAGCUCUGGAACUUGUGCUUGAGCUGUUGGGAAAGAGUUAUUUUGGUCUGUU